rnacentral:rRNA from 1 species
AUUGUUGGUUUGUAUGUGGACUUGGAUGUUGCCGUGUAACAACGGCUCGUCUGAAUGCCUGAGUGUACCCUGCUUUUGCGGCGUAUUCGGUGUGAUAAAUCUUCACCGGAGUUGACUUUCGGGUCGCGCUUGUAUUGUCGGGCUCUAUGCUUCCAACCGUCCUAACAAGACAAUCUUUGACAAUUUGACCUCAAAUCGGGUGGGACUACCCGCUGAACUUAAGCAUAUCAAUAAGCGGAGGAAAAGAAACUAACAAGGAUUCCCCUAGUAACGGCGAGUGAAGGGGGAAAAGCUCAAAUUUUGAAUCUGGUGUCUUUGACUCCCGAGUUGUAAUCUAGAGAAGUGUUUUCCGCGUUGGACCGUGUACAAGUUCCCUGGAACGGGGCGUCAUAGAGGGUGAGAAUCCCGUAUAUGCCACGGACUGCCAAUGCUCUGUGAUACACUCUCAACGAGUCGAGUUGUUUGGGAAUGCAGCUCAAAAUGGGUGGUAAAUUCCAUCUAAAGCUAAAUAUUGGCGAGAGACCGAUAGCGAACAAGUACCGUGAGGGAAAGAUGAAAAGCACUUUGGAAAGAGAGUGAAACAGUACGUGAAAUUGUUGAAAGGGAAGCGUUUGAAGUCAGUCACGUCUGUCGGAAUUCAGCCUGGCUUCUGCCUGGUGUACUUUCCGUCCGACGGGUCAGCAUCAAUUUCGACCGAGGGAAAAAGACGUGAGGAAUGUGGCUGUCUUCGGGCAGUGUUAUAGACUCGCGUUGUAUGUCUCGGUUGGGAUUGAGGAACGCAGCGCGCCUAUUGGCCGGGGGUUCGCGCCCCUCGGUACGCGCUUAGGAUGCUGGCAUAAUGCUA